ACAGCAGUCGCCGCGGUAAUACGGAGGAUCCAAGCGUUAUCCGGAAUCAUUGGGUUUAAAGGGUCCGUAGGCGGUCUUGUAAGUCAGUGGUGAAAGCCCAUCGCUCAACAGUGGAACGGCCAUUGAUACUGCAGGACUUGAAUUAUUGGGAAGUAACUAGAAUAUGUAGUGUAGCGGUGAAAUGCUUAGAGAUUACAUGGAAUACCAAUUGCGAAGGCAGGUUACUACCAAUUGAUUGACGCUGAUGGACGAAAGCGUGGGUAGCGAACAGGAUUAGAUACCCCUGUAGUCCCUGUCUCUUAUAC
rnacentral:rRNA from 1 species